rnacentral:rRNA from 1 species
GACGAACGCUGGCGGCGUGCCUAAUACAUGCAAGCCGAGCGAGCAAUUUUAGCAGAAUACCUUCGGGUAGGAAGCUAAGAGCGCGAGCGGCGGAUGGGUGAGUAACACGUGGGCAACCUACCCUUUAGCUGGGGAUACCACUUGGAAACAGGUGCUAAUACCGAAUAAGAAGCAAGAGCGCAUGCUCAAGCUAUGAAAGGCGGCUUUAAGCUGUCACUAAAGGAUGGUCCCGCGGUGCAUUAGCUAGUUGGUAAGGUAACGGCUUACCAAGGCGAUGAUGCAUAGCCGAGUUGAGAGACUGAACGGCCACAUUGGGACUGAGACACGGCCCAAACUCCUACGGGAGGCAGCAGUAGGGAAUCUUCCACAAUGGACGCAAGUCUGAUGGAGCAACGCCGCGUGAGUGAAGAAGGUUUUCGGAUCGUAAAGCUCUGUUGUUGGUGAAGAAGGAUAAGGAUAGUAACUGAUUCAUAUUUGACGGUAAUCAACCAGAAAGUCACGGCUAACUACGUGCCAGCAGCCGCAGUAA